GCCCGGGUGGCGGAAUAGGCAGACGCACGGGACUUAAAAUCCCGCGAGGUUAAACCCUCGUGCCGGUUCGACCCCGGCCUCGGGCACCA
rnacentral:tRNA from 1 species